rnacentral:piRNA from 1 species
UGCAGCAGGCCAUCCUCCAUUAUCAGGUCA